rnacentral:lncRNA from 10 species
UCAUAGAGCUGAAUGCACACCUGGCCCAAGAGCUGGAGAAGCUAAAGGCGGGACCAGGGAAAGGUGGAGCGGUUGCAGACUCAGCUGCUGGCCCACAUCAACAAGGUGAGCCAGCAGGUCCUUCCACCCCACUUGCUGAUACAGCUUCAACAAAGAAGGGUGUUCACCAACUGACUACAAGAAUCAUUGCUAACCAGGGAUGACUCAUUCUCACAUCCAUCCUAAAUAGACUUCCUUGGAUACAAAAAAUCCAGAGUUUG